rnacentral:rRNA from 1 species
GACGGAGGAUGCAAGUGUUAUCCGGAAUCACUGGGCGUAAAGGGCUCGUAGGCGGCCAACUAAGUCGGACGUGAAAUCCCUCAGCUUAACUGGGGAACUGCGUCCGAUACUGGAUGGCUUGGAUUUGGGAGAGGGAUGCGGAAUUCCAGGCGUAGCGGUGAAAUGCGUAGAUAUCUGGAGGAACACCGGUGGCGAAGGCGGCAUCCUGGACCAAUAUUGACGCUGAGGAGCGAAAGCCAGGGGAGCAAACGGG